rnacentral:tRNA from 1 species
GCUCUCAUAGUUCAACGGAUAGAAUGCAGGAUUGCGGAUCCUGUGAUGCAGGUUCGAUUCCUACUGAGAGCA